UACGAAGGCCCCAAACGUUAUCCGGAUUUAUUGGGCGUAUAGGGUCCGCAGGCGGUCUGUUAAGUUGGUAGUUAAAUUUUUGGGCUUAACUCAAAAAAUGCUACCAAAACUGCCAGACUUGAGGCUGGAAGAGGCGAGUGGAAUUCCCGGUGUAGUCGUAAUAAGCGCUGAUAUCGGGAGGAACACCGAAGGCGAAGGCAACUCGCUAGUACAAGCCUGACGCUCAGGGACGAAAGCAUGGGUAGCGAAGCGG
rnacentral:misc_RNA from 1 species